rfam:Cricetulus griseus cell line CHO-K1, whole genome shotgun sequence.
AGAGAGUUGGCUCAGCGGUUAAGAGCACUGGCAGCUCUUCCAGACAGCCCAGGUUCAAUUCCAGCACUCUCAU